GCGUGUGCGUGUCUGUGCGGGUCUGUGCGUGUCUGUGCGGGUCUGUGGGGGGGGGGGGCCCUAAACCGGAGCGCGCUGGCGGUCCGCCUCGCCUCGUCCUCGGUGUGACGGUGCAGCUGGCGGCUCAUCAGGGAACACGACGCAGACGCUCCGGUGGAGUCUGUUGACUUGUGUGAAAAGACGUGGAUGGACGUUCUCGUUGUUCGAAGAAGUCAGUUCGAGGACAGUUGGGUUUUUUUUUUUUGUCGAGGCUGUAAGAAGUCAUGAAGACUUUGUGAGGGAACUUGAUCACAUGAUGAGAUAUUACUUACGUUCACGCGACCUUCACACUUCCAGAAGUCUUUGUUAUGCAACCAGAGGAGUCGGCGCCCUGGUGGCCGUCUGAAGUACUGCACAGCGCACCUCUCUUCCCGCCGUGAUGCUCGAAUGCAAACGGAGAGAAGAGGCCCUGAAGGCCUCUGGUUCCCCGAUGGGAAGCUGCUCUCACGGGGAACCGGGAACCGUUUGGUCCGAGAGCCUCAAACUGAACCCUGCAGCCAAUUAGCCGCCGGCGGCGUGAAAUUUCACUUGCGACCCCGAGGACUUGGAAGUGGACCUUUUCUUAAGGCAUCUUUACACAUGUUUUGCGUGUGUGUGUGUGUGUGUGUGUGUUGGGGAGCUGUGACUGAUUCAACAUGACGAAGAGACUCGUGUUCACGCGACUUGCUUCUCUCACCUGACCCGGUGUGAAAUGAUUGUUGACCGUGUAAUCGCGCUCACUGACGGUGAUUUGUUUGUGUGUCGUUGUGCUCGUGUUUAAAUGAGCGAACUGUGCCGAUUGGACGACGAUGCUAAAUGAAGCCGCAAAUGACUGUAUUUUCCUAAAUGGCCCUAAAUACUCUUUCUAACAGUAAUUACUUGUUUCACGUUGGCUCCGUUUAAACAAAGCGCUGUUAAUCAGCUGUGCCGGGCGCCUGAGGUUCGGUGAAUGAACCGUCUCUGUGACCGGUGACACGUUUGGUGUUAUUGUGAGAAUUUUGGGUCACAGAUUCAGGAAUAUUCAGGUGAUUUAAAAAUAUUUUUGGGGCACUUUUGGGGCGGAAACGAGGUUGCAAGCAUUUAAAUCAAUUUAUAAGACCAGCUUUCAUGUG
ensembl:lncRNA